rnacentral:rRNA from 1 species
GGUAUGGGAUGAGCUUGCGUCCGAUUAGCUAGUCGGCGGGGCAACGGCCCACCAAGGCGACGAUCGGUAGCCGGCCUGAGAGGGUGAUCGGCCACAUUGGGACUGAGAUACGGCCCAGACUCCUACGGGAGGCAGCAGUAGGGAAUAUUGCACAAUGGGGGGAACCCUGAUGCAGCAACGCCACGUGUGGGAAGAAGCAUUUCGGUGUGUAAACCACUGUCAUGAGGGAAUAAGGCCUAUUUUCGGAUAGGAUUGAAUGUACCUUGAGAGGAAGCACCGGCAAACUUCGUGCCAGCAGCCGCGGUAAUACGAGGGGUGCAAGCGUUGUUCGGAAUUACUGGGCGUAAAGGGAGCGUAGGCGGAGAUUCAAGCGGAUUGUACAAUCCCGGGGCCCAACCCCGGCUCUGCAGUCCGAACUGGAUCUCUUGGAUAGUUCAGGGGCAGGC